ensembl:lncRNA
GUUACCUUCUCCCCAGUUCUACCACAUGCCCUAUAGCAUUUUGAAGUGUUUUGUUGUGACGGUGCUGCCUGCCUCCUGCCUUGUAGUCCUCUCUUGCAUCAUGAAGAUGCAUGGAAGUGACCGCUAAAUGAACCACCUUCCUCACCCGAGAAUCGGCUUCUUGAUAAUGACCAUAGACAGGUCUAUGACUCUUUUGCUGGUCUGCAAUGCAAAGUACAGCUGUCUGGAUUAUCUCUCAUUUACAAUUUAACAUCACAGUCCUGGCGUGCUGCCAGCAUCCUUUCCCCACUUCCUGCAGUUGUGCAAGUUGCUCCAAUCCGAGCCCAAAGACCUCCAUGCAAAGGCUGACUCCAAGCUCUUAAAUAGCCCAGAGGGGAGGAAGCAGCAGUUCUAGUCUACAGAUUGGAGCCAUCAACAUAAGAUCACCUGCCAGACCCUUUCAUCCCAUCCUGCACUUCACUCAGCAAUCAAGUCACUUACAUCUGAAAGCUGUGUCCUUGAUCUCUGUGGCUACCAAACAGCUCAGUGCAAGGAAAUGCCUAGAAGGUGCCUGGACUUUCCUCUGUGGAUAAUCCUGCUGCCCCUGGGAAGGGCAUUCUCUGUGCACCUCUCAUACCUGGGAUCCUCUUUUAGCCUGGAGUCCUCCUCCCAUGAGAACACAACCCAGGUGCUUUUGUAUUACCGAGGGAUUGCUUCUACCUGUUCCAGUACUGAAGAUGAGAUUUGCAAGGCUGUAAACUGCACUUCCAGGCUCCCGGCAGCAGAAUUGGAAAACAACUCCACAGCUCCAUGCCAGCGGGAAGGAGAGGCCAAUCUCUCCCUAACCUCCUCCAAAACCUUCCACCUGAGGCUCUCCAGCUGCUGCUGGUCCCAGGAGGUACUUUCUCCUCACAAGGAUAACACCACCAGCAUCCCAUUUAAGGUGGCAAUGACCUACGCCCUGGGCACUCGCUCUGACACAGGACUGGGAAACUGCUCCCCACAGAUGCCGCUGUUGCCUGCGCUCAGAGUUCCCCAGAACUGCCCUACCACAUACAAUUUGAGUGCCUGGGACCGAGACGGGGACACGGUGAGGUGCCACUACAUCCUUGGAGAGGAAUUUGGCUGUGCUUUCUGCAAGAAACACCCCUUUCUCCUCCUUGAUGAGGAAGCAUGCACUCUAACAUAUGAUGGUAUGGGCUUGGAAGGGACCUACCCCUUGGAACUAAUGGCUGAGGAUUUCCCAAGACAAACAGUGACCCUGACAGCUGGGGCUUGGAUGCAGGAGAUUCAUCCAUACAAUACUUCAAAUGCAGAACGGAACCAGGCUCUGAGCUCUGUUCCUCUGCAGUUCACUUUAACAGUACAAAAACCAGUGGAGGACUGUUCUUUCGGGAUCAGAAGGCCUACAUUUCUCAGCCCAACCCCAGACAAUGGGGAGAGGAUCAGCCUCCUGCCAUACGAAGAGGUUUCCUUUACAGUGGUAUCUGCUAACACAGGAGAAAGGAUAAGUGACAUGCAGGUCCUGGGUCCCUCUGGGUUGCACACAUGGGUGCUCACUGAGGAGAGCAUCAGCACUGCAUCUGUGAACAUCACAUGGGAAAACAGCAACAGCAGGAGGCCCUGCCAGGCUUCCAUAUGUUUCGUGGCCACAACGCUGUCAGGGUUACAGUCUGAGCUCAGAUGCAUUUGGAUCAUGCAGGCUGCAGACUACCCACAGGGCAAUGUUCUGCUGUGUCUCCAGGACCGAAUGCAGCUGUCUGUCCCCAGACUGAGCAUAGGAAACCUGCAAGAGGGUGAUCUUCAGAGGAGCAACCCCGAGUGUCUAGUGAACAGCAAUAGCACGCAUGUGCAGGUGGAGAUUCCUCUUGAGAGGUGCGGCACCAGGAGGAAGGAAAAUGCCUCUUUCUUCAUCUUCACCAACAAAAUUACUGGCCACUACAGUGGAGCAUCACCCAGUGCAUUCAGGAAAUCCCUGGCUAUCCCAGUGACCUGCAGAUACAGACAGGAAGAAGACAGUAACAACUAUUGCCCCUCUGUGGGCGAAGAUGACAAAGGCUUUGGCAAUUUCAGCUUUGAUAUUAGGUUCAUCAAACCAACUACAGAGGGGAUGACAUGGCUAAAGCAAGUGGCUUCCCUUAACGCCAGCGUCAAUGACCAGCUGUUGAUCAGCGUCUCAGCCAAAAGUGACUUGGCCAGUGCUCACCUGGUGGUGCAGUCCUGCCAAGUAGGGGGCAACAAGGAUGCGGUUAAUGCUUCCAUCUUCAUCAUACAAAAAGGUUGCUUGAACUUAAAGGCAGCCGAAGAAGUGAUUUUAGAGGGCUCCAAAGACAAGUUGUACGGCUUCUGGCUCUCCUCUGUAGCCAGUACUAUUCCUGAGGUGUUUGUCACCUGUGAUGUGAGACUGUGCUGCAGUCCAAGCAGGUUCAAUCUCUGUCCUGGGUGCCAGUCCUCUCGGAGCCACAGAACAUCAAAGCAAAUCUUGCAGACAAAGCUGUAUCGGAUCAGCACAGGACCCAUUCGGAUCACCAAGAACCCCACCAGUGGGACCAACUACACAGCUUUGGUGGUGGGUGUGGUGCUGGGAUGCACAGUGAUCUGUGUUGUCUUCUUGUUGGUGAAGAAAUCCUUUGUGGGGGUGCAAUACAGGAAUGUCUCUCUACAGCUAUGA